UCUGACAAACAAAUUUUGACCAUCUCCGAAUUGAAAAAUGUUAUUUCACGAUACUUAGGAAUUCCAACAAGCAUUUAGAAACAUGCCACUUUGGAAUCGGAUCAAAAUUGACAAUGCUAUGGGUUCUGGAAAUCCAGUUUUGAAUCACUUCUAAAAAAUCCAUUGCAAUUUUGGAAAAAUCUGACAUGAACAUGGGUCAAAAUUUCGACCACCGUAAAAUGAAAAAUUUUGAAUGCAGGAUGCAAGGAUGUAAGGAUGCGACUACCAACGUUUAGAGAUAUGCCACUUUGGAAUCGGAUCAAAAUUGACUAAGUUAUGGCUUCUGGAAGUCCAGUAUUGCGUCACUUUUAUGACAACAAUAGGAAACUAGGAAAAAUCUGACACGAACAGGGGUCAAAGCAUCGACCACAUUACAUUUCAGUUGCUUAAAAUGAAAUGUCUUGUGGUGCCUCGCCUCGCAUAAUGGAAUAAUUACUUUUAAUGAUUGCUUUGUGGCUGCUAAAUUCCCAGAAUAGUUUUGGAUCUUCCACUUCUCUUUUUGGUUGCCCCCAAUGAUCCCAUUCUCCCAUUAGAGACACAAACAAACACACGAGUACAUAUAGUAUGUGUCCGGUUCUGUUUGAUUUGCCCCGUCACCCAUUAACCUUAACUGAAUUAUUGUGAGCCAGGGCCGCUAUGUAAUCCCAUUGGCCGCCAUUCGAUGCUCCACUGUGAAUGCCACACAUUGUAAAAUGGAUUGGUUUGCGUCUAAAAUGCAAAAUAAUUUACCAAAUUAACGGUACCAUUAUCAACAGCGACGAUCCGAUCAAUCAAAGUGAAUCCGAUCAAUUAAAUGUUGCCUCCGAGCGUGGCACAAAGAGUCGAGGAAAGCGAGAAGAGAAAUGGGCGAACGGAGGAAAAGAGGUUAUGAACAGAACGGACCAGAAUGCUAAGAACAUAGAUCGUAGAUGUUGGUACACUUUAAAAAAAUGGGUAAUAUUGGAAACUUAGAAAUGUUAACUCAAAACAGAUUGCAGAUUGUAAAACAUAAAAUAAAAAUUAUUAAUGUUGGAAGUAAUUAAAUAAUAAAAUAAUA